rnacentral:misc_RNA from 1 species
CAUCAAUAUUCAAAAAUUGUAAAUUUUUUUAUACUAAUUCCCUCUAUGUCAUUUUAGAUCUCUCCCUUUCGCUUUUCACUCCAUGCAUAUAAUUAACAAAAUUAAAAGAAUUGGCUACGAUUGCAAAUUGGACCAAAGCUAUGGAUUCUUUUGGGUCAUUAACCCCAACAAAAAAAGUUCCACCAAUGAUAUCAAAAAAAUUAAAUCACAAAUACCAUAAGGAAUAUCUAAGAUAAUACAAUUACUACGUAAACGAAAUAUGGACAAAAUAAAGAUCAUACCUGUACAAGCACAGCACCUGCA